UAGUCCACGCCGUAAACGAUGGUUACUAGCUGUUCGGAACUUGUUCUGAGUGGCUAAGCGAAAGUGAUAAGUAACCCACCUGGGGAGUACGUUCGCAAGAAUGAAACUCAAAGGAAUUGACGGGGGCCCGCACAAGCGGAGGAACAUGUGGUUUAAUUCGAUGAUACGCGAGGAACCUUACCCGGGCUUAAAUGGGAGUUGACAGGAGCAGAGAUGCUUUUUUCUACGGACAACUUUCAAGGUGCUGCAUGGCUGUCGUCAGCUCGUGCCGUGAGGUGUCGGGUUAAGUCCCAUAACGAGCGCAACCCCUAUCAUUAGUUGCUAACAGGUCAAGCUGAGGACUCUGAUGAGACUGCCACCGUAAGGUGUGAGGAAGGUGGGGAUGACGUCAAGUCAGCACGGCCCUUACGUCCGGGGCUACACACGUGUUACAAUGGUCGACACAAAGGGCAGCUACAUAGCGAUAUGAUGCUAAUCUCAAAAGUCGGUCUUAGUUCGGA
rnacentral:rRNA from 1 species